rnacentral:lncRNA from 10 species
CUAUAUUUAAGGUAACAGAGACAUGGACUUUUUAAGGUAACAGAGACAUGGACUUGAGAAGACAACUUGGCUCAAUUCCUAGCUCUGCAACUUACUUACUAGGUUUGUGUCUUUGGACUGCAUCCUAACAAACAACUGUGUCAAGACAUUUGAACAGCAUAUUCUACACAAAUAAAAAGGAAAUGAUAAAGAUAAAAGAAAUUAAUAGAAUGGAAAGUGAUGGAGAUAAACAAGUGAAAAGAUGGUCCUUUGAAAAGACUAAAACAUGGCCAAUGCACUGGCAAGAAUGAUUGGGACAAUAAACAAAAUAUAUAUGCCAGGGCAGCUCCCGGCGAGAUCGACGCAAAAGCCAGGGUCUGCGGGACGGACCUGGCAGCUGGUGCCCUGUGUGAGGAUCACUGCAACGGAUCGUGAC